rnacentral:lncRNA from 13 species
UCAUGGCUCACUACAACUUCCACUGCCCAGGUUUAAGUGAUCCUCCCACCUCAGCCUCCUGAGUAGCUGGGACUACAGGUAGGUGCCACUAUGCUUGGCUAAUUUUUUGUAUUUUUGGUAGAGACGGGGUUCUUGCCAUGUUGCCCAGGCUGGUCUCAAACUCUUGAGCUCAAGUGAUCCACCUGCCUUGACCUCCCAAGGUGCUGGGAGAUUACAGGCCUGAGCCACCGCCCCCGGCCCAUCAAUAUUUCAUUUUAUUUUGGAGAUGGAGUCUCACUCUGUUGCCUAGCUUGGAAUGCGGUGACACGAUCUUAGCUCACUGCAACCUCCACCUCCCAGGUUCAAGUGAUUCUACUGCCUCAGCCUCCCAAGUAGGUGGGAUUACAGGUGACUGCCACCACACCCAGCUAAUUUUUGUAUUUUUAGUAGAGAAGGGGUUUUUGCCAUGUUGGCCAGCUGGUCUGAACUCCUGGCCUCAGGCAAUCCACCAGUCUCCAUCAAUAUUUUAAAUACAGAUAUUAAUGCUUCACAGGCUGUGCAUCUCGCCCCACGUGAGUCCACAUUCUUUCCUACCCUGGGAUUACCACUGGCCUGGAGGAAGCGCUGUCCCUCCAGGAGAGAGAGCUUUUUUUCUGGUCGCCCCUGCAGACAUGACCCUGCCUGUCCUUGGCCAAUCCCAGGGCCAGACUGGAUCGUUGGCCCUCUGACUCACCCUAGAAGGCCAGGGACUGGAGAGGCCUGGAACUCCUCAGAGGUAAGUGCCAGUGUGAAGCCAGCAAGCCCUGCCAGGCCUGCUUUCCUCAUGCAUAAAGAAAAGAUGCCGAGUCAUUGUAACUUGCACUUUCUGAGUAGGGCAGUCAGGCCCUGCGUGGCUUUGCCGCAGGCCUUGGUACCUCCCAGUGUGAGGAGCAGGGAGCUGCUUUCCAGCAACACCCUACAGCUCCUGUCAACUCCUGCCCAGGAGCGCUGGACAGGCAGGGCUAGGCAGGGGCAGUGCAGGUGACAGACAGGAUGCCCUUAGGGACCCUUCCUGCUCAGUCUUAAGGAUGAAGUUGGGAGAGAUCUUCAUCCUUGUCCCCUUUUCUUCUUCUUCCUCUUUUUUUUUUGAGAUGGAGUCUCACUCUGUCGUCAGGCUGGAGUGUAGUGGCGCAAUAUCGGCUCACUGCAACCCCUGCCUCCCAGGUUCAAGUGAUUCUCCUGCCUCAGCCUCCUGAGUAGCUGAGACUACAGGCAUGCACCACCACAUCCAGCGAAUUUUUGUAUUUUUAGUAAAGACGGGGGUUUCACCAUGUUGGCCAGGAUAGUCUCGAUCUCUUGACCUCGUGAUCCACCCGCCUUGGCCUCCCAAAAGUGCUGGGAUUACAGGUGUGAGCCACCAUGCCCAGCCCCUUGUCCCCUUUCUGGUACUUCCUGGGUUUCCCUGAGCAAGGCUGGGGCGGUGGAGGGAGCUAUUUUGUUCUGGUGGGUAUCAAAGAUUAAAGCUUUUAUUUUGUGUCGUGAGGAGAUUAAGCAGAUUUUCUCCUGGGCUGGUUGUUGAAUAGCUGAGAGUGAAACUGGCUUCUUAGAGUAGGAUUAAAAAGCUCCGAAGAGCAGUUUACAGAGGGGUUGCUUAACCACUGUAAGCCACGGCUCCUCCUGGAAAACUCGAAACCAUCAAGGGUGCCUCCCUUCUAAGGUUGCCUGACAAGGUGACUGAGGAGAUAUGUGAAGUCCCAAGCCACAGUUCCUUGGCCCCCAAACACAUGACUUUAUGCACUCUCUUCCCAUCCUUGCCUCCAGAAUUAGCAAGGGCACCCAGUCAGACACCCUGUUCUAGUGACUUGGACAGGCAUUGAAAAAGCAUUCACUCUGUGCUACUGUGCAAAAGAGAAAAGUGGAGCUGCUGCUGGCCGCCUGAGCAGGGCAGGGAAGUGUUUUGCCAUCACUGAUCCUCUGACACUCAAUGCAUCUUCCAGGGCGUGUGUGCCAGGCACAGUGCCGGAUGCUCCAGCAGCAAGCAUUUA